UUCACAGCACUUCGAGAUGAAUCAGCCAAACCUUUAGGGAAAGAUACAAUAACACCAGCUUGUUCAAAUGCUGUGCUGCCUUGAGAACUCUCGUUCAUUCCUGGAGUCAUUGAAGAAAAAUGCAAUCCAAGGCCACUAGUGAAACGAGCAAAUGUAGAAAUGCCAAAAGUUCCAGUGUGGUAGUCUGUUGGCGGUCAUGUUGGUUGUGGCAGGUUCAAACUACCCCGAGAUGGUAUGCCUGAAGCCGGUG
rnacentral:misc_RNA from 1 species